rnacentral:rRNA from 1 species
UACGUAGGGACCGAGCGUUGUCCGGAUUCAUUGGGCGUAAAGAGCUCGUAGGCGGCCACUCAAGUCGAAUGUGAAACCUCGAGGCUUAACCUCGAGCCUGCAUUCGAUACUGGGCGGCUAGAGUCUGGUAGGGGGAUCUGGAAUUCCUGGUGUAGCGGUGGAAUGCGCAGAUAUCAGGAAGAACACCCGUGGCUAAGGCGGCUCUCUAGUCCGGUACUGACGCUGAGGCGCGAAAGCGUGGGGAGCAAACAGG